GCUAAAGAAUGCAAGUGCAGGGGGAAAGACUGUCCUAUACAUUCCUCCAAUCCAGGAAGAGCUACACACUCAGCCGGUGCCCCCUGACUCCAGCUCCUUCUCCAAUAUGCCAAAGGCGAUGUGCCACUCAUGUCAAACCAGCUACCCACUUCAACUCUUAGCACUGCAUGUUGAAACAUGUCAGCCUUCAGAUACUAAUGCACAGGAGACUUGUAAUGAAGACCCAGAGGACGCAUCACAUCCCAUACCACAUAGAGAAGACAAUCAACUUAACUCACAUCUAAAGCAUGUGGAGGAAGAUGUCAUUACUUUGUCCUCAAAUGCAAAGGUAAUGUUGAGUGCAAUGUGUUGAAUGUCUGUCUUUGAGGCAUUAUUGACUCUAUCGUUCAUAUUGUUUCCU